rnacentral:misc_RNA from 1 species
AAAGAAUUAAAAUCCGGAAGUCAUGUUUUCUCGGACAAAUAUUCCUGUCUUUCGACGAUUUCUUAAUACAAAUAUAGAUCCAGAGAAGUUGACUCGUGGCCAGAGAUUCAAGAACUACAUGAAGCUGAUCGUAGAUGACUAUGCUACUGUUGGGAAGGAAACAGUUCAAGACAUUAAGGCAAAGCCUUUGAAAUCAGCCUUUAUAUUCUCUCUACUUGGUACUUCAGGAUACAUGAUCAAAACAAGACCAAAUAAACAAGAUUUUAUAACUACCUUAGUGUCAAACACUGAUGAACUUUUAUUAGUCGGAGAUUUGACUCGUAAUCCAGUCUCAAAUGCUAAAAUGGAAGAAAUCAAUAAACUUAACAAAGAAGGCAGGCUACGCUUUUUCAAUUUAGGAGUGUGUACUAUUGUAUGGUUUGCGAAUUUCUCUAGAGAAGUGGACUUGUAUGAGACACAGUGUAAGCAUUUGAAACCUGCAUUUCUAGAUAGGUUUAAUACCAGAUUUGUGGAUGUAGGAGUAGCAGGACAUUGGUUUAACUUGGAGAAAUAUAUGAUAGACUUUGAUAUCAAUUCUACAGAAUGGCCUGUAAUAGAGGAAUCAAAGACUAAGAUUGCAGCAUAGACUGAACCUAUACAGGCCCGUAGCCAGGAUUUGCCAAGGGGGGGGGUUUAGUUUCAAAAUUUUCCAGGGGGUUCACAUUUGACAAUUUUGGCGCAAAUAUGGCUAAAAUCACUUGAGCAAAAUGGUGAAAAACUGCAUGAUUUUGUAAGAAUUUUUGGCCAGGGGGGUUCACCCGAACCAUGCGGACCCCCCCCCCCCCCUCCCCCUGGCCACGGGCCUGCUAUAUAUUAAUCAGAAUAGAUAAACAGAAAGGAUAAUUCAGAAGUAUGCUGGCUAUAAUCAUUUAAAAGAUUAAGAGAUUGAAAAGGAAAAAAGCAUGUUUGGGAUGAAUACAAAUCUAUUUGAAAAUUGUGGAAAUUAAAAUGUGGUGCUUUUACUGUUUUAUAGGUUGAGCCUAGAAAUUACAAUGUUUCUUUUUUAUCUAUCAUGGGAUUUGAUGUAACACUCAAUUUGUGUUUGUAACACAAGUUUGACAUCUGAGAAAACUUACAUUUUACCAUUGUUUGAUAUACAAAUGGAUUAAAAUAAAUUAUUCUAACAUGUUAAAUCUGUAUUUUUUAUUUUGAUAAUUCAGCCAUUAGCAUUAUUAUGUCCCUUUGACAUUUGAAUAAAUCUGAUUGUUAUCCAUGGCUAAAAAAAA